AACACAUAAUACUGAAGAUCAGCAUCAGACCCCGCCUCAUCUUUCAUCUCAAGUGCUUAUUUUUUGGGCCUGGAUACUACUGCAACUUAAAUGAGAACUGUGAAGUAUACAUUCCCCACAUAUCCCCUAUGCCUUGCUGUACACCAGCAUGCGAUGGGUUAAUGCUGUACCUCUGGCUCACCUGAGGUGUAAUUGGUAGUAAUUGUGGCCUGCUGAGUCACACACACACACUGACUGUGGAAAGCAGGAGCUGAAAACCUGUUUGAUACUGUGAGUUGAAAAGCCUUGUUUUGUUUUUUUGGGAUUGGGAUGUACAUGUAAACACUACACUGGGGUACUUGAGCUGGGCAAGCAAAGCAUUCAUUUGUGUUUUCCUGAAAUGGCUUGUAAUAAAGCUAGCUGCGUUAUUGGGAUCUGCAGAUGGAUGUUAUUGCCAACAAGCGCUUAUUCCUCACAUAAAAUGAAUGUAUAAAAAAGGCAGAGUUAUUCUUGAAAAUAGUGAACAUUUAAAGAGCCAGUCUCCCAUUUGAACUUUGCUAUUAAGAGAUAUCAACUUAUUUUGUUGAUGGCAGCAAUUUCAGUCUAUCAGCCACGUGUGACAAAGGCUUCAGCGUAUGGUUGGCAGCAGGACAGAGCACAAUAUUUUGUGAUUGGAUUUCCCAGGCAAAGUUGUUUGUUUUUGCAACACUGAAAGGGCAACAAAUGAGAGUGUUACCAAGUGCCUUUUUAUACCACAGCAUUGUUCAUACAGGCACUAGGCUUUGAAGGAACAGCGUCAUGGGCAGCUGCAAAAGAUGUUGAGGUUGUUGGACAAAAUACUAGUUAUCGAGGAUGCGGCUACAAAUACACACAGGAUAACACAGAGUACUGUUAUUUGUUUGAGAAGUGAAGGCUUGCAAAGAACCUGAGAGACGGAAGCCACACUGGGUAAAGGUGCCAUUGGUACAAAAAGUAAUAAACUUCCAGAAACUGAAACUGUCAGCAGACAGAAUCACAGCCAAGAACUGGGAAUGUUGCUGAAUCUGUUGGAUAUACAAAAAUAGAGCCACAUGUUGAGUUGCCAGAAAUCCCUGGUGUGGAGGAAUCCAGUGCAUUCCUGUCAAGUUCCUUGGACUUCUGGAAGAAACAGCAGAGUCAUUUACUUGUCGCCAGGAUAAAUAAAUUCUGCGGAAGACACCACUAUUUAAAAUUGCAGCAGAACAAAGUGAUCCAUGAAACCCAUGGGGAAGAGAGCGCAGAACCAGAGGGAGAAGGAGCACCUGACUUCAAUACUGUAUAUACUGUUGCAAUUCACCUUGUGCCUUAUUAUUUCACCUCAAAUCUGCAAAGGUAAUAUUUCCAGAAUCAUAUUCAAAGAAAUGAUAACUCAUAAAACUCUUCCACAAAAAAUCAAGACAGGGCCAGGUUCUCUCUCUCUGUCUGCUUAAUAUGCAAGCUCGUGCAAAGCAUUGUGAAAAAGAAGAAUACAAUGAAAAGAUCAUCACUGUGCAGUAUCACAGUUUUUUUUCCUGCACUGAUUAAAGUCCCCUCUUCUGCUUAAAGAAGGAAAAGAGGGGUGUCGUCCUUGCCAAACCUGAAGAUGAGCUACUGUAACUACCAAUAAUCCUGCAAGUGAUUUGACUAAUGUUUUGUUUUCUGUAGGUGGUUUCACUCUUCCUCUUGACCACCAUCACUUGUCAUUUUUCCAAGUUCACUUGAACUUCCUACAGGAUAAUUAGUUGGAAACCAGGAUCAGCAACAGCCUUUCCUAGCUAGGGCAAUCUGGCGGAUCCAUCCAGUAGACAGAAAGACAGACAGAUGGACAGACCAACAUUGAAAGACUGAUAGAUAUUGCUGAAUGAUGAAAUACAUAGAUACAUUUGCAAAGUAUGUACACUACACCGUGACAGUCUUUUCAGUGAAAACAAUGAAAAUAAAAUCCAGAAAUAAACUCCUAAAUAAAUCGUGCCUGGAAAUGGUCAUCUGCUUCUUGUGCAUGAAUGUAUGUCCCCGGAUGCUGCAGGAGAGGGUAUCCAUGCACCAAACACAAUGAACCAGCAGCAUCAGACAGUGCUUAGGGCAGCCAGAGACUAGUUCAUGCUGCUACAUGAGCCAGACAUCAUAAACCUUGGCUAUAGGGUCAAGUGACUCGCAAUUGUAUAAUGUAAACUCAUUCUCAGAUUAUGGAAAAACAUUCUCACUUACACUUGUCCAUCUUUAUGCUGUGUUUUAUUGCAUCUUUUUAAUCUUAAAAUACCGCUUAAAAUAUUUUGACAUUAUCAUGUUAUGAUACCGUUUUAGUUGGUAUUAUAUUUUAUAUAUAUAUAUAUAUAUAUAUAUAUAUA